GGUUAAGCGACUAAGCGUACACGGUGGAUGCCCUGGCAGUCAGAGGCGAUGAAGGACGUGCUAAUCUGCGAUAAGCGUCGGUAAGGUGAUAUGAACCGUUAUAACCGGCGAUUUCCGAAUGGGGAAACCCAGUGUGUUUCGACACACUAUCAUUAACUGAAUCCAUAGGUUAAUGAGGCGAACCGGGGGAACUGAAACAUCUAAGUACCCCGAGGAAAAGAAAUCAACCGAGAUUCCCCCAGUAGCGGCGAGCGAACGGGGAGCAGCCCAGAGCCUGAAUCAGUGUGUGUGUUAGUGGAAGCGUCUGGAAAGGCGCGCGAUACAGGGUGACAGCCCCGUACACAAAAAUACACAUACUGUGAGCUCGAUGAGUAGGGCGGGACACGUGGUAUCCUGUCUGAAUAUGGGGGGACCAUCCUCCAAGGCUAAAUACUCCUGACUGACCGAUAGUGAACCAGUACCGUGAGGGAAAGGCGAAAAGAACCCCGGCGAGGGGAGUGAAAAAGAACCUGAAACCGUGUACGUACAAGCAGUGGGAGCACGCUUAGGCGUGUGACUGCGUACCUUUUGUAUAAUGGGUCAGCGACUUAUAUUCUGUAGCAAGGUUAACCGAAUAGGGGAGCCGAAGGGAA
rnacentral:rRNA from 1 species